GACGGAGGAUGCAAGCGUUGUCCGGAAUUAUUGGGCGUAAAGCGUCCGUAGGUGGCCUAUCAAGUCUGCUGUUAAAUCCCAGGGCUCAACUCUGGAUCAGCAGUGGAAACUGAUAAGCUAGAGUGCGGUAGGGGCAGAGGGAAUUCCCUGUGUAGCGGUGAAAUGCGUAGAUAUCGGGAAGAACACCAGUGGCGAAGGCGCUCUGCUGGGCCGUAACUGACACUCAUGGACGAAAGCUAGGGGAGCGAGAGGG
rnacentral:rRNA from 1 species